ACUCACUCCUCUGAGUGCUCCUGGACACUCAGUUUGUCUCCCGUUCCAAUAUACUAUUUUAAGAUUUUAUUUUUUUAAAGUCAUCUCCACAUCCGAUGUGGAGCUCGAACCCACAACCCCAAGCACCGACAGGUGGGUGAUCAAACCACAUUCCAGUCCUCCCUGCGACCAACUUCUGCCUUAUUUGUUUCCCGUUCUUGGAGAGGUUCUGACAUUUUGCUUCCUGAAUUCAUGCUUCUGUUUAAGUGCCUUCUCCGUGUCAACCGUAUUAGAAUAAAUGGUUAUGAGCAAGACGGUGGGAGGACGCUCCAGCACACGGCCAGGAAGGGACCCACGUAGCUGGAAGCCGUGGCCUCGGGGAAGUACAUUCAAGCAGGGAGCAGGCAGGCCAGGAGGCUUCCUGGCAGACACACGUCUGAGCCAAGAUCUGACAGGGAGAGAGGUUAACCAGGCCAAGAAGGUGGGCUGCAGCGUGGGUCAAGCCCACGGAGCAGGGCACAAGCAGGAGCAGAGGAAGACCCAUCUGGGGUUUAUCCCGAGAGCCCCGCGGAAUCACGGACUUCACCUCCAGCAACCGCAGACACCAGCAAGGACAGCGCUUCGAGAGCCGGGAAGGGGAGGGGGCUCUCCCUGGGUGACCGCCUGUACUGGAGGGCAGAGGGUCUCAGACCGGAGCAUCAGAAUGCCCAGACGUGCUGGCUCAGGACUGGGGCGGGCCUGAGAACCUUCAUUUCUGGCAAGCGCGAAUCGGCAGGGAGCCUGAGGACGCCAGGCUUCUCAGAGGACCCCCAGCACGGGAAGGUUCAGAGCGGAUUUCGCCCCAGAAUCGGGACAAGGCGGGGCCGGGUGCUUCCUGACACAUGGCACUGGAUGCCCA